rfam:TPA: Bos taurus chromosome 10, whole genome shotgun sequence.
UCCCUAGUGGCUUAUAUGGUAAAGAGUCUGCCUGCAGUGCAGCAGACCUGGGUUCAAUCCCUGGGUUGGGAA